rnacentral:tRNA from 1 species
GCCCUGUUAGCUCAGUCUGGUAGAGCGUUGCCUUGGUAAGGCAAAGGUCGCGAGUUCAAUCCUCGCACAGGGCU